GACGAACGCUGGCGGCGUGCCUAACACAUGCAAGUCGAACGGAACUCAUUGGAAUGAGACUUCGGUCGAAUGAUAGUGAGUUUAGUGGCGGACGGGUGAGUAACGCGUGAGCAACCUGCCUUUCAGAGGGGGACAACAGUUGGAAACGACUGCUAAUACCGCAUGAUGUAUUUCGAGGGCAUCCUUGAAAUACCAAAGAUUUUAUCGCUGAAAGAUGGGCUCGCGUCUGAUUAGUUAGUUGGUGGGGUAAACGGCCUACCAAGACUACGAUCAGUAGCCGGACUGAGAGGUUUGAAACGGCCACAUUGGGACUGAGAUACGG
rnacentral:rRNA from 1 species